rnacentral:rRNA from 1 species
UACGUAGGGCGCAAGCGUUGUCCGGAAUUAUUGGGCGUAAAGAGCUCGUAGGUGGCGUGUCGCGUCUGCCGUGAAAGCCCAUGGCUUAACUGUGGGUCUGCGGUGGAUACGGGCAGGCUAGAGGCUGGUAGGGGCAAGCGGAAUUCCUGGUGUAGCGGUGAAAUGCGCAGAUAUCAGGAGGAACACCGGUGGCGAAGGCGGGUCUCUGGGCCGAUACUGACGCUGAGGAGCGAAAGCGUGGGGAGCGAACAGG